GCACUUUAACCACAUGUGAUUUUUUUUCUCUUACAAAUCUCAAAUAGUGGAGUACAGAGGCAAUGAUGGGCCUUUGUCCCACACAUUAUUGAGGGCACUGUAGAUGAGGCCAUAUACAA